AUACGGGGGAUCCGAGCGUUAUCCGGAUUUAUUGGGUUUAAAGGGUGCGUAGGUGGUUUGAUAAGUCAGCGGUGAAAGUUUGCAGCUUAACUGUAAAAAUGCCGUUGAAACUGUCGGACUUGAGUGUAAAUAAGGUAGGCGGAAUGCGUGGUGUAGCGGUGAAAUGCAUAGAUAUCACGCAGAACUCCGAUUGCGAAGGCAGCUUACUAAGCUACAACUGACACUGAAGCACGAAAGCGUGGGGAUCAAACAGGAUUAGAUACCCUGGUAGUCCACGCAGUAAACGAUGAUUACUAGCUGUUUGCGAUACACAGUAAGCGGCACAGCGAAAGCGUUAAGUAAUCCACCUGGGGAGUACGCCGGCAACGGUGAAACUCAAAUGAAUUGGCGGGG
rnacentral:rRNA from 1 species